AACGCGAAGAACCUUACCUGGGUUUGACAUGCACCAGACGCCGGCAGAGAUGUCGGUUCCCUUGUGGUUGGUGUGCAGGUGGUGCAUGGCUGUCGUCAGCUCGUGUCGUGAGAUGUUGGGUUAAGUCCCGCAACGAGCGCAACCCUCGUCCUAUGUUGCCAGCAUUAAGUUGGGGACUCAUAGGAGACUGCCGGUGACAAAUCGGAGGAAGGUGGGGAUGACGUCAAGUCAUCAUGCCCCUUAUGUCCUGGGCUACACACGUGCUACACUGGCCGGUACGAAGGGCUGCAAACCCGCGAGGGGGAGCGAAUCCCAAAAAGUCGGCCUCGGUUCGGAUUGGAGGCUGAAACUCGCCUCCAUGAAGGUGGAGUUGCUAGUAAUCGCGGAUCAGCAACGCCGCGGUGAAUACGUUCCCGGGCCUUGUACACACCG
rnacentral:rRNA from 1 species